AGAAGAAAGAUUCCUAACUGUUGCACAUCUCUUACCAACUUGUCGGUACUGUAAUUUGUAGACGGUUACCAUACUGGUAAUCAAUUGGUAUAGCCACGGUAUUGUUACAGCCACGGUAUUGUUACAGCCACGGUAUUGUUACAGCCACGGUAUUGUGACAUAUUCUAAAAGUAAUAUUUGUAGCUACAGUUAUUGUGAGUGUAAAAUAAAUGUUUGUUUGCACAGGAGGGUGUGAGAGGUGUGCUGGAGGGCCUGGCGUCACGCUACGCGGAUGAGUUCAGCACACACUACCAGGACGUGUUUGACCACCUUGACAACCUGCGCAUGGAGGCCUGGACACAGCUCAUCAACCGUGUUAAAAACCCUAUAGUGACGGAUGAGACAGUGGGGCGUCCUGUCUCCCCAUCCCGCUCCCUCCAGCACCACCAUCACCAGCCCCACCACCACAACGACGACGACCAGGGUGACGGGGCUGGGUCGUCACCCUCACAGCCCAGACAACACAGCUCCUCACAGACCUCGUCUCACUCGUCUUCCCCUGAACACCGCGUCUACGACGACCAGCCCAUCUAUGUUCCAGGCAGAUAUAACCCGUCAAGUUGUCUGUCAGACGCUGAGGAGGAUCAGAUCUACGGGUACACUGGAGGAUUCAGAGGCGGGGGACUACGUGCACCUGUGUUGGCUCACAACAACCACGGCUUCAUCCAUGACAACCAGGGGUGCUUGAACCCCCGCUCUACACUCAUCUACGAGCUACCUCCUGUCGGAGAUGUGAAUCGCGGGGGUAACGGGAGAAAGAAACUCGGCAUUGGAAAGUUUCUAAAAACAUUGAAGAGAGAUUUGAAGCGAUCAUCUGGGACAUCAAAAAACAACAAAAAUAGAUUGACGCAUCAACCUGAAUAACGUGCCGAGGCAGAACUACGGCGAGGCUGGAGUGAGCACCACGCCCCUGGUCAUGCUGCCCGGUUACUCCUCCCCCGCCUCCUCCCGUGGUUCCCACUCCACGCACUCUCACUCCAGCAGCCACUCUAAUGCCGCCUUCGUCUCCGCCUCUGCCCCCGGCACGCCUGGCUCUUCCGGGCCCGUCCGGGACUCAGGACUUCAGGAGGCCAUCGAGAGGCUGAAGGAGCAAGAGAUGCAGAGAAGACGAGAGGAACAGUUUAGAGAACACGAGCAG